UCGAGCCCUAACUGGGGCUUGAGCACCUGGACCACUGCAACCAAAUUUCCUGAGGGCAGAGACCACGACACUUUUAAUUCAUCUUUAUCCACAACACCCAACACAGUGCCCGGCACAUAGGAGGUGCUAAAGAAAUGUUUGAAUAUGGUCUUAUAGGGUGAGGGAAGUUACUAGAGAGGGAAGGGCAGCAGUAGAGAAGAGAGAGUUAAAAUAGACUGAGCUCACUAAGGAGGCAGGAGGAAGGAGAUGCCGAAACUCAGUGGAGGGCACAGCCUGGGACCUGGGGGAGACAAGGCGAAUGCAGACAAGGACAGAAGGGUGGGUGGGGAAGCAGGAAGUGAAGGAGUUACUGUCUGAGGGCUUCAACCAUCUCUGCAAAAGAGAAAGCGAGAUUGUACAAUCAGCUAAUACUUCUUGGGGUUUGUAUGCAUUAUUUCACUAAUCCUCACAAUCCGGUGAGGUAGGCGCCAUUGUUUCCUCACAGGAAGGUUUCAGAGGAGUCAGGAGCCUUGUUCAAGGGGCACUGUUUCUAAGAAGCUAUCUGAGUGUGGAGCAUGAGUCUUCAGAAAAGAGGUCUCUGUGCUCCAGGAGAGAAUGGGACUUGCUACAAGAGAGCCUGGAUUCUGUGACAUCACAGGAUGGCGGCACCACCACCUCCACACCACCAUCCUUGUUAUCACAACAACAGCAACAUCUGCUUAAAAUCUCCACCAAGCACUGUU